rnacentral:rRNA from 1 species
ACGAGUUAUCUGACCUUCGGGGGACGAUAAACGGCGUCGAGCGGCGGACGGGUGAGUAAUGCCUAGGAAAUUGCCCUGAUGUGGGGAUAACCAUUGGAAACGAUGGCUAAUACCGCAUAAUGCCUACGGGGCAAAGAGGGGGACCUUCGGGCCUCUCGCGUCAGGAUAUGCCUAGGUGGGAUUAGCUAGUUGGUGAGGUAAUGGCUCACCAAGGCGACGAUCCCUAGCUGGUCUGAGAGGAUGAUCAGCCACACUGGAACUGAGACACGGUCCAGACUCCUACGGGAGGCAGCAGUGGGGAAUAUUGCACAAUGGGCGCAAGCCUGAUGCAGCCAUGCCGCGUGUGUGAAGAAGGCCUUCGGGUUGUAAAGCACUUUCAGUCGUGAGGAAGGUAGUGUAGUUAAUAGCUGCAUUAUUUGACGUUAGCGACAGAAGAAGCACCGGCUAACUCCGUGCCAGCAGCCGCGGUAAUACGGAGGGUGCGAGCGUUAAUCGGAAUUACUGGGCGUAAAGCGCAUGCAGGUGGUUUGUUAAGUCAGAUGUGAAAGCCCGGGGCUCAACCUCGGAAUAGCAUUUGAAACUGGCAGACUAGAGUACUGUAGAGGGGGGUAGAAUUUCAGGUGUAGCGGUGAAAUGCGUAGAGAUCUGAAGGAAUACCGGUGGCGAAGGCGGCCCCCUGGACAGAUACUGACACUCAGAUGCGAAAGCGUGGGGAGCAAACAGGAUUAGAUACCCUGGUAGUCCACGCCGUAAACGAUGUCCACUUGGAGGUUGUGGCCUUGAGCGUGGCUUUCGGAGCUAACGCGUUAAGUAGACCGC